rnacentral:rRNA from 1 species
AUUGAACGCUGGCGGCAUGCCUUACACAUGCAAGCCGAACGGCAGCGGACCUUCGGGUGCCGGCGAGUGGCGAACGGGUGAGUAAUGCAUCGGAACGUACCUUUCAGUGGGGGAUAACGUAGCGAAAGUUACGCUAAUACCGCAUAUUCUGUGAGCAGGAAAGCAGGGGAUCGCAAGACCUUGCGCUGAUCGAGCGGCCGAUGUCAGAUUAGCUAGUUGGUGAGGUAAAGGCUCACCAAGGCGACGAUCUGUAGCGGGUCUGAGAGGAUGAUCCGCCACACUGGAACUGAGACACGGUCCAGACUCCUACGGGAGGCAGCAGUGGGGAAUUUUGGACAAUGGGGGCAACCCUGAUCCAGCCAUGCCGCGUGAGUGAAGAAGGCCUUCGGGUUGUAAAGCUCUUUCGGCCGGGAAGAAAUCGCACGGGCUAAUACCCUGUGUGGAUGACGGUACCGGAAUAAGAAGCACCGGCUAACUACGUGCCAGCAGCCGCCGUAAAAC